CUCACCAUUACCUACUGUCGAAGCAGUGGCCCUGGAGGCCAGAAUGUUAAUAAAGUAAACACACAAGCUGAAGUCCGGUUCCACAUACAAACAGCUGAUUGGAUUCCUGAAGAUGUGCGACAAAAGAUUAUUUCUCAGAUCGCCUCACCAUUACCUACUGUCGAAGCAGUGGCCCUGGAGGCCAGAAUGUUAAUAAAGUAAACACACAAGCUGAUGUCCGGUUCCACAUACAAACAGCUGAUUGGAUUCCUGAAGAUGCGCGACAAAAGAUUAUUUCUCAGGUAACAUCAAUACUAAGAUUACAUAUUCACUGGAGCUGACUGCUAAUAA